rnacentral:rRNA from 1 species
CCCUUACCAUUCCGAACAGGGAAGUUAAGCCCGCCAGCGCCGAUGAUACUGCGUUCCCGUGGGAAAGUAGGUCGCCGCCUUCU